AUCUAAUCACGUUGUCUGUCUCUACGGUCAUUGGUCUCUACUCACAAACAUGGCGGACUACCGCGAAGCGCCCUUGGCUACUCGGCCAAAAACGUUGGACCCUGCUGAAUAUUUCAACCUUUCGCUGGACCAGAGACGUGCCGAGGAGGAGAGGGCUGUCUUAAGGGCCCAGCUGAAGAGACAAUAUCAGAUGCAGCUAAACAACCCGCACAGAAAAGAGCUUAUUGAAGACCCUGCCUUGACACGCUGGGUGUACGCACGCACCAACCCCUACAACCACUUCAGAGCCACCAAGAAGACGUCGCUGCUAGGUGGGCUCUUUGGAGUGGUUCCCCUCUUCGUCCUGUACUACGUACUGAAGACGGACAGGGUAUGGAUGAGAUGACACCAACCCUUAUCCUACUUGUUCCCUGACACUAGGGGUCUGUUCCAAAUCCACCCUAGCCUCUAUACCAGUGGUCAACAACCUUUUCUGAGUCAAGAUCACAUUGAGUCAAAAUACAAACUGAGAUCUACCACUCAGGUUUUUUAUUUUUUUAAACAUGACUUAAAGGACAAGAAGGAGGAGCAGAUCAAAGCUGGGACCUACGACCGCAAGUUCAAGCUUGCCUACUGAGUUUGCUCAUCUCAGACUUCCAUUGUAAAGUAUUGUAGAGUUAAUGUCAGCGUGUGUAUUUAUUAUUGAUAACUGAAUAAAAAAACCUUUAUUGUUGAAAAGCAAA